AGCAGCCGCGGUAAUUCCAGCUCCAAUAGCGUAUAUUAAAGUUGUUGCAGUUAAAAAGCUCGUAGUUGAAUUUCGGGGUCAGUAGAUUGGUCGUGCCACUGGUAUGUACUGGUCUCACUGAUUCCUCCUUCCUGAUGAGCCGUAAUGCCAUUAAUUUGGUGUUGCGGGGAAUCUGGACUGUUACUUUGAAAAAUUAGAGUGUUUAAAGCAGGCUAACGCUUGAAUACAUUAGCAUGGAAUAAUGGAAUAGGACGUUCGAUCCUAUUUUGUUGGUUUCUAGGACUGACGUAAUGAUUAAUAGGGAUAGUUGGGGGCAUUAGUAUUCAAUUGUCAGAGGUGAAAAUUCUUGGAUUUAUUGAAGACUAACUACUGCGAAAGCAUUUGCCAAG
rnacentral:rRNA from 1 species